UACGUAGGGCGCAAGCGUUGUCCGGAAUUAUUGGGCGUAAAGAGCUCGUAGGCGGUUUGUCGCGUCUGCUGUGAAAACUCGGGGCUCAACUCCGAGCUUGCAGUGGGUACGGGCAGACUAGAGUGCGGUAGGGGAGACUGGAAUUCCUGGUGUAGCGGUGGAAUGCGCAGAUAUCAGGAGGAACACCGGUGGCGAAGGCGGGUCUCUGGGCCGUAACUGACGCUGAGGAGCGAAAGCAUGGGGAGCGAACAGG
rnacentral:rRNA from 1 species